rnacentral:pre_miRNA from 1 species
AUUAUACUCUCCCGUCUCAUAUUAUGUGACUUUCUAUUACAUGUAUCUAGACGUAUUCUAGUAUAUAGAUACGUCCAUAUUUAAACAAAUUUGAGUCACUUAAUAUGGGACGGAGGGAGUAAAUA